GCCCGUGAUCAUACCAUCCUGAAUAUGCCUGAUCUCAAUGCUCAUGAGGUUUGGGCCUGGUUAGCACUUGGAUGGGAGACUGCCUGGGAACACUGGGUGUUGUAGGUU
rnacentral:rRNA from 1 species